rnacentral:rRNA from 1 species
GAUGAACGCUGGCGGCGUGCUUAACACACGCAAGUCGAACGAUGAAGCCCAGCUUGCUGGGUGGAUUAGUGGCGAACGGGUGAGUAACACGUGAGUAACCUGCCCUUAACUCUGGGAUAAGCCUGGGAAACUGGGUCUAAUACCGGAUAGGAGCGUCCACCGCAUGGUGGGUGUUGGAAAGAUUUAUCGGUUUUGGAUGGACUCGCGGCCUAUCAGCUUGUUGGUGAGGUAAUGGCUCAUCAAGGCGACGACGGGUAGCCGGCCUGAGAGGGUGACCGGCCACACUGGGACUGAGACACGGCCCAGACUCCUACGGGAGGCAGCAGUGGGGAAUAUUGCACAAUGGGCGCAAGCCUGAUGCAGCGACGCCGCGUGAGGGAUGACGGCCUUCGGGUUGUAAACCUCUUUCAGUAGGGAAGAAGCGAAAGUGACGGUACCUGCAGAAGAAGCACCGGCUAACUACGUG